GAUGAACGCUGGCGGCGUGCCUAAUACAUGCAAGUCGAGCGAACGGACGAGAAGCUUGCUUCUCUGAUGUUAGCGGCGGACGGGUGAGUAACACGUGGAUAACCUACCUAUAAGACUGGGAUAACUUCGGGAAACCGUAGCUAAUACCGGAUAAUAUUUUGAACCGCAUGGUUCAAAAGUGAAAGACGGUCUUGCUGUCACUUAUAGAUGGAUCCGCGCUGCAUUAGCUAGUUGGUAAGGUAACGGCUUACCAAGGCAACGAUGCAUAGCCGACCUGAGAGGGUGAUCGGCCACACUGGAACUGAGACACGGUCCAGACUCCUACGGGAGGCAGCAGUAGGGAAUCUUCCGCAAUGGGCGAAAGCCUGACGGAGCAACGCCGCGUGAGUGAUGAAGGUCUUCGGAUCGUAAAACUCUGUUAGUAGGGAAGAACAUAUGUGUAAGUAACUGUGCACAUCUUGACGGUACCUAAUCAGAAAGCCACGGCUAACUACG
rnacentral:rRNA from 1 species